rnacentral:lncRNA from 1 species
AUGGGGCUGAACUGUGCAUCUGUGGGACUGAGCUGUGAGCUUAUGGGGCUGAGCUGAGCCUCUGUGGGGAUGAGCGGAGCCUAUGGGGCUGAGCUGUGAGCCUAUGGGGCUGAACUGUGCAUCUCUGGGGCUGAGCUGUGCAUCUAUGGGGCUGAGCUGAGCCUAUGGGGCUGAACUGUGAGCCUGUAGGGCUGAACUGUGCAUCUAUGGGGCUAAGCUGAGCCUAUGGGGCUGAACUGUGCAUCUAUGGAGCUGAGCUGUGAGCCUAUAGGGCUGAGCUGUGCAUCUGUGGGGCUGAGCUGUGCGUCUGUGGGGCUGAGCUGUGAGCCUAUGUGAUUGAAUCUAUGGGGUCUAUGAGCUGUGCUGUGAGCCCAUGGGGCCAUGAACAGUCUAUGGGGCUGUGCUGGGCUGCGAGAUUAUGGGGCUGUGCACUGUGAGUCUAUGGGGCUGUGCUGCACGCUUAUGGGGCCGAAUGCUGUGAGCCUGUGGGGCUGCGCUGUGAGCCCAUAGGGCUGUGCGCUGUGAGUCUAUGGGGCUGUGCUGUGAGUCUAUAGGGCCACGCACUAUGAACUUUUGGGGCUGUGCUGUGAGCCCGUAGGGCCGUGCACUGUGAGUUUAUAGGGCUGUGCACUGUGAACCUAUGGGGCUGUGCUCUGAGCCCAUGGGGCCGUGCACUGUGAGCCUAUAGGGUCAUGCACUGUGAGUCUAUAGGGCUGUGCUGUGAGCCUGUGGGGCCAUGUGCUGCGAAUCUAUAGGGCUAUAGAGUGAGCCUAUGGGGUGUGCUCUGAGCCCAUGGGGCCGUGCACUGUAAGUCUAUAGGGCCAUGCACUGUGAGUCUAUAGGGCUGUGCUGUGAGCCUGUGGGGCCAUGUGCUGCAAACCUAUAGGGCUAUAGAGUGAGCCUAUGGGGCUGUUAUGAGCCCAUGGGGCCGUGCACUGUGAGCCUAUAGGGCUAUGGGGCAAUGCUGUGAGCGAGGUGUGGGGCAGAAUAGGACUGCGGGAUCCCUGGAAGGAUUUUGCUGCCACGUGGCCUCCGUGCUGCCCUGGAUCCUCAGCUGCCGGCAGCUGCCAGCCCGGACCUAUUGGCCACCACAGCUGCCGUUCCCAAACCCCGUUUGACUUUCUGGCCCCAUAGAGCCGUCCCUGGGAAUACUCACAACAGCGCCGGGGGGGCCGGGAGCGCCUCUCUCUCCGGGUUUGCCGGGCUCACCCUGCGAGGAAGAGAGUGGGGUGAGGUGUGCGUCAAAACCACAGCGCCCCCAUACAUGGAUGGACCCCCCCAUACACAUAUAGGGACACCGCCCCUGAGCCCCCCCCACACACACACCGUGGGGCUCUGUGAGCCUGUGUGGGGCCACGUGCUGCCAACCUAUAGGGCUCCGCGAGAGCCUCGCGCCACACAUCUGACAUGAAGCCCCCCACGCAGCCCCCCCUCCUCCCACCCCCCACCCCCCUUUUUGAGCACCCCAUCCAUGUGCACUCACCGCAGCGCCUUUGGGACCGGGGAAACCCAUCACACC